rnacentral:rRNA from 1 species
GACGAACGCUGGCGGCGUGCUUAACACAUGCAAGUCGAACGGUAAGGCCCUUCGGGGUACACGAGUGGCGAACGGGUGAGUAACACGUGGGUAAUCUGCCCUGCACUUCGGGAUAAGCCUGGGAAACUGGGUCUAAUACCGGAUAGGACUCCGGACUGCAUGGUCUGGGGUGGAAAGCUUUUGCGGUGUGGGAUGGGCCCGCGGCCUAUCAGCUUGUUGGUGGGGUGAUGGCCUACCAAGGCGACGACGGGUAGCCGGCCUGAGAGGGUGACCGGCCACACUGGGGCUGAGAUACGGCCCAGACUCCUACGGGAGGCAGUAGUGGGGAAUAUUGCACAAUGGGCGCAAGCCUGAUGCAGCGACGCCGCGUGAGGGAUGACGGCCUUCGGGUUGUAAACCUCUUUCAGCAUCGACGAAGCGAAAGUGACGGUAGGUGCAGAAGAAGGACCGGCCAACUACGUGCCAGCCGCCGCCGUAA